AAUGGAAGGGCCAUCGCUCAACGGAUAAAAGGUACUCCGGGGAUAACAGGCUGAUACCGCCCAAGAGUUCAUAUCGACGGCGGUGUUUGGCACCUCGAUGUCGGCUCAUCACAUCCUGGGGCUGAAGUAGGUCCCAAGGGUAUGGCUGUUCGCCAUUUAAAGUGGUACGCGAGCUGGGUUUAGAACGUCGUGAGACAGUUCGGUCCCUAUCUGCCGUGGGCGCUGGAGAACUGAGGGGGGCUGCUCCUAGUACGAGAGGACCGGAGUGGACGCAUCACUGGUGUUCGGGUUGUCAUGCCAAUGGCACUGCCCGGUAGCUAAAUGCGGAAGAGAUAAGUGCUGAAAGCAUCUAAGCACGAAACUUGCCCCGAGAUGAGUUCUCCCUGAGACUUUAGGUCUCCUGAAGGAACGUUGAAGACGACGACGUUGAUAGGCCGGGUGUGUAAGCGCAGCGAUGCGUUGAGCUAACCGGUACUAAUGAACCGUGAGGCUUAACCUUACA
rnacentral:rRNA from 1 species